rnacentral:RNase_P_RNA from 1 species
UAGGUUUCGGAGUUAAUCGCUUGUAUUAAUACAAGAGGAAAGUCUGGACUUCACAGGGCAAAGAAGGCAGAUAACGACUGCUGAGAGAAAUCUUAAGGAAAGUGCCACAGAAAAUAAACCGCCUACAUUUAGUAGGUAAGGGUGAAAAGGUAGUGUAAGAGACUACCAGUAAUUUAAGAAAUUAAGUUAGCUAGGUAAACCCCUUCUGAAGCAAGAAUAAGUAGAUAGCGCAAAAGAGGCUGCCCGUCUCUGCUUAAUGGGUAAUUCGCUAGAGUAAAUAAGUAAUUAUUUAAUUAGAUAAAUGAUUAACUAAUACAGAAUCCGGCUUAUACCGAGACCUAUUUA